rnacentral:piRNA from 2 species
GGGUGAACCGGCCCAGGUCGGAAACG